rnacentral:lncRNA from 1 species
GGGUAUUCAGUAUCAGCAAUUUCAGGCAGAACUUUUGGCUCUGGGGUUGGUUUUGGCUCAUCAUGGACAUUCAUUCUCCCAAAAGAUUUCUCAACAGUUUUAAUGUCUUCUAUUUCAUCACUCCCUGUAAGCCAUCAAGAUGAAAAUCUUAAUCUCAAUGGUUCAUAAAGUGUUAAGGUAAGGGAAACAACAAAUGAUAAGAACAAACUUGACAUUAAUAUCUUUAGCCAAGGCCUUAUAUACAUUCUUCACAUAGCCAAUUCUUAAUCACAAAUUUCUUAUAUCUAUUAUGCACCAAUCAGUGUAUUGAUUUUUCUAUUUUUGAGUAAUUACUAGACUUGGACCACACCAAGUCCACAAUGCCAAAACAAAACGCCACACUUUAACCCAAAGUUAAGGGUACAAAUACAAUUUGAAAAAACAAAAUGAUGAUAUUGCUGAACUAUCAGUAAAAGAAAUCAACUCUAAUGAGUACCCAUUUUAUCAAUUUAACCAUGAAAUCUUUUAAAGUAAUAGAAUGAUAUACACAUAAUGCAGAGUCCAUAGCAAAAAAAUGAUUCUGCAACUUUGCUCAAUUGUCCUACUUACCAGCCCCACUUGGAUCAGUUGCUUUGGUUUGAUAAUUUGGAAGAGUAUAUGCCUCAGGUCUACUUCCUUGAGGAUCAUCCUCCAAGACUAUUGGCCUCUCCAAAUCAAUUGCCUUUUCUUCCCCAGCAAAUGUUUUGACUGGUUCAGUGGCAAUGUUUUGAUUCAUUUCAGCAGUAUCAGAAGCUUCAGAAAUCUCGGGAGAGACAGUUAUAUCAGCGGUUGCCGAUGAGAUUUCAUCUGUGUAACUGUUAUGGUUUGAUUUUGUCUUCACUGAUUGUUGUUCUUCAGGUGUGGUUGUGAUGGUGUUGAAAGUUUGUUCUUCAAUUUCCGGGUUUCUAUUGAUAUUUGUAGAUAUCUUCUCCGAAGAGAGCUGAUCAUGAGUUCUAGCAGAAGGAUCGUGGGUUUCUGUAGCAGCAGAUAGGUUUGGUUCAAACUGAUCAUUACUUCCAGUAGGAGGAUAUUCAGUAUCAGCAAUUUCUGGCAGUACUUUUGGCUCUGGUGUAGGUUUUGGCUCAUCAUGGACAUUCAUUCUCUCAAAAGAUUUUUCAACAGUUUUAAUGUCUUCUAUUUCAUCACUUCCUGUAAGAUAUCACAGAUGAAAAUCUUAAUCUCAACAACAACAAAAGUUUUAUCCCACUAAGUGAGGUCGGCUAUGAAAAUCUUAUUCAGUAGUAGAUAAAUUGUUAGGGUAAGCAAAGCAACAAAUGACAAGAGCAAACUUGGCAUUAUAUCUUUAGCCAAGGUCUUAAUGCAAGUGAAUAUUAGAGUAUGUACCCUAAAAC